rnacentral:misc_RNA from 1 species
AAAGAUUUCUUGAUCUUGAAGGGCCCUUGUCCAAACUGUGGGACCGAGAACGUCUCCUUCUUCGGGACUAUAUUGUCGGUGUCCAGUGGUGGUUCUACUAAUACUUUAAAAUGUUCAGAUUGCGGCACUGAAUUGGUGUAUGACUCUGCAACACGGUUAAUUACGCUUCCAGAACCAAGUGAAGCAUGAUAAGAGGUACAUAAAAG